UGUGUGUGUGUUGCAGAAAAUGUUUUAGGAGAACUCCUCCACUUACGAAGCAUUUCUAGAAGGCAGAAAUGCCAAGUGAGAGGUUAAGAACAAGUGAUGUAAUCGCCCUGAGAGGAGCGUUCCAGAGCAGAACCAGCAGUCUCAGGACAAGUGAGUUUGAACAGGAAGAAGAAUUCCCAGGCAAGAGAAGGGGUGACACAAAGGUUGAGAGCAGCAGAGCAGAAGUCUAAGCAGAUUUUGUGUAUAAGGCACUCCAGUAGACCGGUCUCCAGAAAGAGACGAACACCUAGGUAAGGAUUCACCACUGGUCCUGUGGACACGGCCAGCCACCGAAGGGUUCUGAUGUGAGAAGUCCACUGGGACUGAGGAAAAUAUUAACUUGGCUUUUUAAAAAAACAAGUCAUGAAUUAAUAGAGGGAAAAUGAAAUGAGAGCUAACAGGAGGCAGUGGAUGGAGCAACAGAGGCUGGGCCAGGAGUCAAAGGUCAAGUUCAAAGACCCAGAUGGAAGGACAGACCUUCACAGAGCCAGAGUUAGGCGGCUGACAUUGGGAUAACAGGAAGACUGGAGAGAAAACGACCGAAGUUAGGGCUGGGGACAUAACUCAGUGCCUGCCACCCGUGAAACACUGGGAUCACCUUAGCAUCACACACAAUUAAGAUCCUGAGUUUCCAGCUUGUUACACAGACCACUGAGUCCCAACACUUGUGUCCUGGUAUAAUUUAUGUGGAACCAAAGGUGAAGAUUCACUCCAUUCCUGAGAUUCUAAUGCUGACCUCUCGUCUCAUCCUGUUGCAGACGGAGACAACUACAGAGAACCACGCCAAUCCAAAUCCACACCCGUGGAGCCCAGUCGCAGCGGGCACAGUAACAAAACACUCCUGCACCUGAGGCUUGGGGAACAUUGCAGGAAAUUGAGCAGAGAGAUGGUGAGAUCAGAGGAUUGUCAGAAGCGACCCCAUAAAGUCUCACCAACAUGACUGACCAGCCCAAACAUAAGCUGAACAAGGAUGACAGCAAAGGACACACCAAAGUGGGUGGGGCAAAGGCCUCGCUCGACCCUACACAAAGAAUUUAGGCAACUAAGGAAAGAUGGGGAUGGGAAAUUUGGGUUUCUGAAGGGAAGAGCACACCAAUUGGUUGUACAGGGCCAACGGGUCAGCUCUGAAAGCAUACAUACAGUAACAUGGACUGAGCAGGAUAUAUUUAGGUAGUAAGAUCCACCCUGCCUACUCUGUUCUACCUAAUGUUUCCUGUGCCAUUUAACAUUCAAAGAAAAACGAACAUUUUACAUAUAGCUUCAAAGUAAAUGUACCACCUGAACAUCUGAUUGGUGAUUUUGUUUAAAACAGGAUGACGAUUAGUUUCAGUACACAGAAAAGAUAACUAUUAAGAGCUAUGUGAUGGUUUGUACAUGCUUGGUCCAGGGAGUGGCACUAUUAGGAGGUGUGUCCUUGUUGGAGUAGGUGUCUCACUGUGAACAUGGGUUUCAAGGCCCUCAUCCUAGCUGCCUGGAAAUGAGUAUUCUGCCAGCACCCUUCAGAUGAAGAUAUAGAACUCUCAGC
rnacentral:sRNA from 1 species